rnacentral:misc_RNA from 1 species
GUGAAUCAUCGAAUUUUUGAACGCAAAUUGCACUCUCUUGGGAGAGUAGGCGUGUUUGUGGGUCAGUAUUAAUAAAAAUCGGUGUGUUGCUUCUUUGUGACGCUCCGGAGUUUGGGUCAUCUUAAUAUCCUUUUGGUUUUAAGAGGCUUAAAAUGGACUCUUUUUGCGCAUUUUAGAUGUACAUACUUUCCUUUUUUAAUUCGGCUGUCUUAAUGCUCCAUAUCCUAUUAUUUACGUCCAUAC